rnacentral:rRNA from 1 species
GACGAACGCUGGCGGCGUGCUUAACACAUGCAAGUCGAACGGAAAUGCCCCUUUUGGGGUACUCGAGUGGCGAAAGGGUGAGUAACACGCGAGUAACCCGCCCUUGACUUCGGGAUAUCUUCAGGGAACUGGGGCUAAUACAGGGUAGGAAAUCUUGCGGCAUGGUGGGGGUUGGAAAGAUUCGGCUGUUUUGGAUGGACGCGUGGCCUAUUAGCCUGUUGGUGGGGUAGUUGUUUAUCAAAGGUUUGACGGGGAGUCGGCCUGAAGGGGGGACCGGCCAAAUUGGGACUGGGAUACGGCCCAGACCCCUUCGGGGGGCAGCAGGGGGGAAUAUUUCACAAUGGGCCGAAGCCCGAUGCAACAACGGCGGGUGCGGGAUGGCGGCCUUCGGGUUGUAAACCGCUUUCAGGAGGGGAGAAGGUGAUAGUGACGGUACCUGCAGAAAAAGCACCGGCUAACUACGUG